UGAGGGAUAUUGGUCAAUGGGCGCAAGCCUGAACCAGCGACGCCGCGUGGGUGAAGAAGGUCUUCGGAUCGUAAAGCCCUUUUCCCACUGAAGAGGAAGGACGGUAGGUGGGGAAGAAGUCUCGGCUAACUACGUGCCAGCAGCCGCGGUAAAACGUAGGAGACAAGCGUUAUCCGGAGUUACUGGGCGUAAAAGGCGUGCAGGUGGCGUCUUAAGUCUGUUGUGAAAGCGCCUGGCUUAACCGGGCGAGGCCAAUGGAGACUGAGAGGCUGGAGGACGGCGGAGGGGUGUGGAAUUCCGGGUGUAGUGGUGAAAUGCGUAGAGAUCCGGAGGAACACCAGAGGCGAAGGCGGCACUCUAAGCCGUACCUGACACUGAGACGCGACAGCACGGGGAGCAAACG
rnacentral:rRNA from 1 species